rnacentral:lncRNA from 1 species
UUAGCUUUGCCUCUGAUGCAGAUAUUCUACCAUCAACAUCAGACAUAAAAUUUAAAUUAGUGUAUCUUCCCACUCCUAGAUUUGAUCCUUCUCCAAAUUAAAAAUAAAUUCUUUAGUUCUUCUUAAGUACUUAAGGAUAUUUUCACAAUAAUCCAACAUUCUUAGCCUAGAUACAACUAAUAUCUACUCAUGACAUUCAUAGUAUUAUCUAUAUCAGUUCA